rnacentral:rRNA from 1 species
GACGAACGCUGGCGGCGUGCUUAACACAUGCAAGUCGAACGGUGAAGGUGGAGCUUGCUCCGCCGGAUCAGUGGCGAACGGGUGAGUAACACGUGGGCAACCUGCCCCUCACUUCGGGAUAACUCCGGGAAACCGGGGCUAAUACCGGAUACGACCUCCUUGGGCAUCCUUGGAGGUGGAAAGUUUUUCGGUGAGGGAUGGGCCCGCGGCCUAUCAGCUUGUUGGUGAGGUAGUGGCUCACCAAGGCGACGACGGGUAGCCGGCCUGAGAGGGCGAGCGGCCACACUGGGACUGAGACACGGGCCAGACUCCUACGGGAGGCAGCAGUGGGGAAUAUUGCGCAAUGGGCGAAAGCCUGACGCAGCAACGCCGCGUGCGGGAUGAAGGCCUUCGGGUUGUAAACCGCUUUCAGCAGGGAAGAAGCCGCAAGGUGACGGUACCUGCAGAAGAAGCACCGGCUAACUACGUGCCAGCAGCCGCAGUAA